rnacentral:rRNA from 1 species
UACAGAGGCCCCCGAGCGUUUGUUCGGAUUCACUGGGCGUAAAGGGUGCGUAGGUGGCAUAGAAAGUUUGAUGUGAAAGCUCAGGGCUUAACCCUGAAAUGGCAUUGAAUACUGCUGUGCUGGAGGUUUGGAGGGGGGACUGGAAUUCUUGGUGUAGCAGUGAAAUGCGUAGAUAUCAAGAGGAACACCAGUGGCGAAGGCGAGUCCCUGGACAACACCUGACACUGAGGCACGAAAGCUAGGGGGAGCAAACAGG